rnacentral:piRNA from 1 species
UGGAAACGCCUCAUAUAGUAACUUGUGU